GAUGAACGCUGGCGGCGUGCCUAAUACAUGCAAGUCGAGCGAACAGAUGAUGAGCUUGCUCCUCUGACGUUAGCGGCGGACGGGUGAGUAACACGUGGAUAACCUACCUAUAUUACUGGGAUAACUUCGGGAAACCGGAUCUAAUACCGGAUAAUAUAUUGAACCGCAGGGUUCAAUAGUGAAAGACGGUUUUGCUGUCACUUAUAGAUGAAUCCGCGCCGCAUUAGCUAGUUGGUAAGGUAACGGCUUACCAAGGCAACGAUGCGUAGCCGACCUGAGAGGGUGAUCGGCCACACUGGAACUGAGACACGGUCCAGACUCCUACGGGAGGCAGCAGUAGGGAAUCUUCCGCAAUGGGCGAAAGCCUGACGGAGCAACGCCGCGUGAGUGAUGAAGGUCUUCGGAUCGUAAAACUCUGUUAUUAGGGAAGAACAAAUGUGUAAGUAACUAUGCACGUCUUGACGGUACCUAAUCAGAAAGCAACGGCUAACUACGUG
rnacentral:rRNA from 1 species